rnacentral:rRNA from 1 species
AGAGUUUGAUCAUGGCUCAGAAUGAAACCUGGCGGUGUGCCUAACACAUGCAAGUCAAACGACAAUUUAUUUGGAGUGGCGGACGGGUGAGUAACACGUAAGAACCUACCUUUAGGAGGGGGAUACCAUCCCGGGAAACUGGUGCUAAUACCCCAUAUGCUGAGAAGUGAAAUGGUAUUUAACCGCCUAGAGAGGGGCUUGCGGCUGAUUAGCUAGUUGGUGGGGUAAUGGCCUCCCAAGGCGACGAUCAGUAGCUGGUUUGAGAGGAUGAUCAGCCACACUGGGACUGAGACACGGCCCAGACUCCUACGGGAGGCAGCAGUGAGGAAUUUUCCGCAAUGGGCGAAAGCCUGACGGAGCAAUACCGCGUGGAGGAAAAAGAAGACCUGUGGGUUGUAAACUCCUUUUCUCAGAGAAGAAUACUGACGGUAUCUGAGGAAUAAGCACCGGCUAACUAUGUGCCAGCAGCCGCGGUAAUACAUGGGGUGCGAGGUUUAUUCGGAAUGAUUGGGCGUAAAGCGUUCGUAGGUGGUUUCACGAAGUCCACUGUCAAAGAUCAGGGCUUAACCUUGGGCAGGCAGUGGAAACUCGGAAACUCGAGUCAGGUGGGGGCUGAA